rnacentral:lncRNA from 1 species
AUGCAGCUGAUUGGGGGCUUAUGCCCAGAUGAGAAGUACUGUUAUUUGCCAUGUUACCCAACGAAGGGAAGUGACUACUAUCUUAUUCAUCUUUAUGUUCCCUGCAGUGGCCAGCAUUGGGCCAGAAAUGGAAUUUAUUACAUGAAGCUGGACUGCAUUGCACUGUUGGAAGGAGUUCCAUUAGGAGGAAUGGCUUCUUGUGGGAACCAAACAAGGACAUCUUCUUCUCUAUAGGAUUCGGAAGGACGUUGGUUGCAACAGAUUUGAAGUGACACUAGAGAAAUCCAAUAAGAACUUCUCCAAAAA